rnacentral:rRNA from 1 species
UACGUAGGGUGCAAGCGUUGUCCGAAAUUAUUGGGCGUAAAGAGCUCGUAGGCGGUCUGUCACGUCGGCUGUGAAAUCCCGAGGCUCAACCUCGGGUCUGCAGUCGAUACGGGCAAACUAGAGUAUUGCAGGGGAGACUGGAAUUCCUGGUGUAGCGGUGAAAUGCGCAGAUAUCAGGAGGAACACCGGUGGCGAAGGCGGGUCUCUGGGCAAUAACUGACGCUGAGGAGCGAAAGCGUGGGGAGCGAACAGG